UGGAUUCCUACCAUGCAAGUGAUGAACUC
rnacentral:piRNA from 1 species